ACAAGUGAGUCAAUAACGAAAUGACUCACUUGCAGAAUGCUCCGACUGACUCACAUAGUUGUAAAAAAUGAGUCAAGAUCGGCGAUUGACUCAUUUACAAAAAAAAUGAGUCAAGAAUAAAGCCGUGCGCGCAUGCGCUACUUGCACGCUAUGACGUCAACCAUCGCGCGAACCAUUCCCGUUUGACGUCGCCAUUGCUGAAUUGGAUCAAGAGAAUACUGGCUACUGGAAGAAGUCACUACGCAACAGAUUCAGGAAUUGCAGGAAGUGUCAUGAACGUGAUAAUCCAUUAGGACAAAUGGAAGCAAAAAAAGGGGACUACACCCAAACCAGACAAAGCUGCAGGCAAACACACGUAUGGCAUAAAGAAAGUACCUUCCUGCAUCCCCAGAAGGUGAGGAUGAAGAAACGAUCAAUGCUCACAUCAAGAUGCUUCAGAAUGAAUCCAGAAAAACAAGACAGGACAGCUUGAUGAUAGACAACCUACUAACUUUAGCCCAUAGGCGCAAGGGUAUCAUCAACAGCAACUGGACUGAAUCCUACUUGAAGGAUAUGUACCCUUACCUUUUCCAUGAAGAUGAGAGAAACAUAAGACUGCCCUGUUUAAAUUCCCUGUUUAUUCUUUUCAUUUGAUGUUGAAAGAGAUUGAGAGACUGUCAGAGGACCCAAUUAAGCAGAAGUUGGAAGCAGGACAUUUGAAUAUGCUGAUCCAUUACUAGAGAUAUGUAAGACUCCCAAGCAAGGUUUGGAGCUCAAAAACCUAAUCUUGGCUGCAGCAGCAGAAAAUGAAGACACCAGGAAAAUGAUCAAAUCAUGUGGAGCACUUCUGUUGAUUCCUACUAUUUUUGGAGAGAAGGCAUUGCUUUGUCAGCAUAGCCAGG